GUGCUAUCGAGACUGCACAUAUACUAAAAUUAGAAUGAUACAGAGAAGAUUAGCAUGAUCCCUGUGCAAGGACUUAUAUUGAAUUUUAAAAAAUUACAAAGGAUUC